rnacentral:lncRNA from 1 species
UUACCCAGGACGUUGCAGUGAGUGACUCAAUGGGGAAUGACAUUUCUGUUCUCCUCACCCCCAGGUAACAUUGCCUAGAGCUAUGCUGGGAAGAUCACUCUGUAAUACAAUUCAGGAAAUUUAAUUAACUGGACAGGUCUGGUCCUGACUCCAAUUUCUUUAUCUUCUUAUGGACGACUGGAUAACAGAAGAAAUUGGGCAAUCUUUUGUGAUUGUUGUAAACGAGACUUUGUGACCAUUGCUGGAUGUUUUCAGCACCCAUCUCGAGCAUGGACCAACUGAUCCUCCUUUGGCAAUCAGCACUGCGAACCCUAUUAUGCAGAUGAAGAAACUGAGGCAACGAACAGCACUCCAGGGGCACAGAGAAAGUUGUGAUGAAAUUUAGGUUAGAGGUCAAAGUUGUGCCCCACUGAGGGGAAAAGUGAGGGGGUAUCACAGAAAUUCCUUAGCCUUGGGCUUGCUCUGACAUUCCUUUAGGCUUCCGCUUCUUUCUUCUUCUGGCUGAAGAGGACUCAUUGGGAUCUCAGAGCACAAUGCACAGAGCCUCAUCAAGCACUUCUGCUAAACACACACUCCCUGUUCCUCAUCCCUAUGUGUCCUAUUCAGCUGCAGGGGACUAACCGGAAGCUAAUAGCUUGUCUGAGACCAUGAGAGCCAGAAGUCUGCUUGCAAGGUGUUAUCCACUUGUAAUUAUAGGCCCGCAAGGGGUGAAUGCUUACCAUGGGGAGUGACUCUUCUUUCCCAAGUACAGGUGUCCCUUCUUCUUGAGCCCCUGCCAGGUGCUCAGCAGCUUGGGAGCCCGUCAGAUAAAUAGCAACUGAGGU